UACGGAGGGUGCAAGCGUUAUCCGGAAUUACUGGGUUUAAAGGGUGCGUAGGCGGUUUAAUAAGUCAGAAGUGAAAAGUCCGAGCUCAACUGGGGCCUUGCUUUUGAUACUGUUAGACUUGAAUCAGGCUGAGGUUAGCGGAAUGUGACAUGUAGCGGUGAAAUGCAUAGAUAUGUCAUAGAACACCAAUUGCGAAGGCA
rnacentral:rRNA from 1 species